UACAGAGGGUGCAAGCGUUAAUCGGAAUUACUGGGCGUAAAGCGUGCGUAGUCGGUUAUUUAAGUCGGAUGUGAAAUCCCCGGGCUCAACCUGGGAACUGCGUCUGAUACUGGAUGGCUUGAAUCCGGGAGAGGGAUGCAGAAUUCCAGGUGUAGCGGUGAAAUGCGUAGAUAUCUGGAGGAAUACCGGUGGCGAAGGCGGCAUCCUGGACCGGCAUUGACGCUGAGGAGCGAAAGCGUGGGGAGCAAACAGG
rnacentral:rRNA from 1 species